UACAGCCACAUCAUGUUGAAACAUUGGUUCCCAUAUGUUCACCAAAGUUAAGAAACACUGAACCUGAUUAGUACCUAAAUGGGUGACCACUUGGGAAUAUCAGGUGAUGUAAG